rnacentral:lncRNA from 1 species
GUGGUACUGAGGCUUCAGCGGGUGCCGCCCGCCUAGAGGGAGUGGAGCGGUGAGCACGUCAGGGGUGGGGGGCGCAGGUCAAGCUUUCACCAGUUUUUAAUUCUUUGAUGGGGUAAAUUUGAGCAAUUUUCUCGACUUGUCGACAUUCGUUAUUAACUGAGCAGGAAUCAGGAGAGGAACCCGGUCCUCUCCACACAGCCCAGCAGAGAGCCUACGACUAGAUUUGCAUCUUUACGUCCUGCGCGGAGGCUGCUACACACAUGCAGAAGUCAUGCUGGUGGCCUGGACAGUGAAGGGAGAGAAGUGGAUUUGGGAGACAUUUAGGAGGCUUCCAGCUCAGCCCGCCCCAGGCCAGGUGAUCGGCCGCCACAUCCCCUGAGACUAAAGCACCUGCUCCUCCAUGAACUUGCCAAGAGCUGAGCGCCUUCGCUCCACACCGCAGCGCAGCCUCCGGGACUCCGAUGGAG